rnacentral:rRNA from 1 species
AUACGGAGGGGGCUAGCGUUGUUCGGAAUUACUGGGCGUAAAGCGCGCGUAGGCGGAUUGAUCAGUCAGGGGUGAAAUCCCGGAGCUUAACUCCGGAACUGCCUUUGAUACUGUCAAUCUAGAGUUCGAGAGAGGUGAGUGGAAUUCCUAGUGUAGAGGUGAAAUUCGUAGAUAUUAGGAAGAACACCAGUGGCGAAGGCGGCUCACUGACUCGAUACUGACGCUGAGGUGCGAAAGCGUGGGGAGCAAACAGGAUUAGAUACCCUAGUAGUCC